UGGGGAAUAUUGCACAAUGGACGGAAGUUUGAUGCAGCGACGCCGCGUGGUGGGCGUAGGCCUUCGGGUUGUGAACUCCUUUUUCUCGCGAAAAAGGCACAGUUUUGGCUGUGCUGAUGGUAGUGGGGGAAGAAGCGCCGGCUAACUACGUGCCAGCAGCCGCGGUAAUACGUAGGGCGCGAGCGUUGUCCGGAUUUUUUGGGCGUAAAGAGCUCGUAGGUGGUUCGUCGCGUCUGUCGUGAAAGCCAGCAGCUUAACUGUUGGUCUGCGGUGGGUACGGGCGGGCUUGAGUGCGGUAGGGGUGACUGGAGUUCCUGGUGUAGCGGUGGAAAGCGCAGAUAUCAGGAGGAGCACCGAUGGCGAAGGCAGGUCACUGGGCCGUUACUGACACUGAGGAGCGAAAGCGUGGGGAGCGAACAGG
rnacentral:rRNA from 1 species